rnacentral:rRNA from 1 species
UUUUNACAAUGGGCGAAAGCCUGNUGGAGCGACGCCGCGUGGGGGAUGAAUGGCUUCGGCCCGUAAACCCCUGUCAUUCGGGAUCAAUGCCUGCUAUUUAAAAGAUGGUAGGUUGAUAGUACCGGAAGAGGAAGGGACGGCUAACUCUGUGCCAGCAGCCGCGGUAAUACAGAGGUCCCAAGCGUUGUUCGGAUUUACUGGGCGUAAAGGGUGCGUAGGUGGUUGGGUAAGUCUGAUGUGAAAUCUCGGAGCUUAACUCCGAAACGGCAUUGGAUACUAUUCAGCUUGAGAGUUGGAGGGGGGACUGGAAUUCUCGGUGUAGCAGUGAAAUGCGUAGAUAUCGAGAGGAACACCAGUGGCGAAGGCGAGUCCCUGGACAACUUCUGACACUGAGGCACGAAAGCCAGGGGAGCAAACGGGAUUAGAUACCCCGGUAGUCCUGGCCCUAAACGGUGCACGUUUGCUGUAAAAGGAAUCGACCCCUUUUGUGGCGUAGCCAACGCGUUAAACGUGCCGCCUGGGAAGUACGGUCGCAAGAUUAAAACUCAAAGAAAUUGACGGA